CUGACACAUUAUUGCUUUCCAGGAAGUGGUAGGGAUGACAAAAAAGCAUAUUCCAACAGGGCUUUGGAGAGGAUAAAGUCCAAGAAGUACUGAAACCAAGAGUCACUUAAAUUUUUAAGAAUCUUCAUUUUAAAGAUAAGUAGUAGUCCACAUAGGAAUGCAUGGUAUUCAAUGAUGAUUUCCUACAUUUAUUCAAGGGAUAGGAACAUGCUAUUGUGAUCAGAAAGAAAAAUCAAACAAAAAGAAGAGGCCAAAGGAAAGGAUAUGGUCAGAAAAAAAAAUCAAACAAAAAGAAGAAGGUGAUAAAGGAAAACAGACGAUAGUGGUUCCUAUCAAGAUCUUAGAGAAAGAGAACAUUAACUUUUUUCUCAACUGGUUUUCUAUAUGAGAGAGAGAGAAAGUUAAAUUUUAGGAUCUCUUGAAGAUCAGAAAUUUUGAGAAAGAGAGAAUCAAUGAAAUUCAGAAUUUGGUGGAGUUGGUAAAAGAUUCAGAUGAUUAAAUGUUAGACAAGGCUAUCUAACAGUAAAUUAUUGUCCCAGUGAGAAAAAAGGGUGAUACCAAUCAGAAUGUGGUCAAGUAAAGUACCAGAAUUAUUGAUAUAAAAAAAAUUAAUGUGAGUGAUGAAGUGGAAUAUUAGUGAUUGUAGUCAAAGAACAAAGUUCAGAUUUUAGAGAUGGAGAAGCCAAUAGCCACUAUGGGGAAAGGGUUGGAAAAGAUUAGAAGUGGAGGCCAUUGGUUGAGACGCCUAUGGAACAGAUGAGGCUAGGCAGCUGUAUGUGUUAUCAUCAGGGAUGGAAAAAUCUCAGGAUAAUGACAGGAGUGGGGCGGAAAGAAAUCCUAUCAACCUGGAACCUAAGCAAUUUGAUGACUGAGAGGGGAUGACAUAGGUAUUAGGAUAUAACCGGGGAGCAGAUGUCAAAGUAGAUUGGUUAAAGUUGACUCCAAGGAAAUAAAAGCUAUUUAACAGGAGGGUAGAUAAAUAGGGCAUCAGUUUCCUAGAGUGGUGUUUCAGCUAUUAUUGUGUUGCUUAUUCUCUAGGGAGACAAAUUGGAGUGAUAUCCAACUAAUCAGAAGCUGGAUGUAGCUGAAGGACUUCUUGUUCUAAUUUAUCUGGCUGUGUCUUCACUGAGCGGAAGUAUGCUGACUGUUUUACAUGUGGUAGCUACAAAAAUCUCAUAAAAUGUAGAGCAGGAUGCCUAGAGGAAACUGAGGCUGAGAAAGAUGCAAUAACUUGCUGAAUAUCACAGAAAGGAAGAAGAUAUGGUGGUUGAAGUUACAAGGACUCCUUGUUGUAACCAGGAGCCGAUCUUGAUCAAUGGAGCUACAUAAAGCAUGUUGAAAUGCAAAGAAAGAUAGAAGGAGCCUGUGGUACUGAAAACAUUGAGGAUUCUCUGAACCAGCCUUGGCUACCCCACCAUUUAACUUGAGAAAAAAUAUUUCUUUCCUCUUUAAGCUCUU
rnacentral:lncRNA from 1 species